rnacentral:rRNA from 1 species
GACGAACGCUGGCGGCGUGCUUAACACAUGCAAGUCGAACGGUAAGGCUCCAGCUUGCUGGGGUACACGAGUGGCGAACGGGUGAGUAACACGUGGGUGACCUACCCUGCACUUCGGGAUAAGCCUGGGAAACUGGGUCUAAUACCGGAUAGGACCGCACCGUGAGGGUGUGGUGGAAAGUUUUUUCGGUGUGGGAUGGGCCCGCGGCCUAUCAGCUUGUUGGUGGGGUAAUGGCCUACCAAGGCGGCGACGGGUAGCCGGCCUGAGAGGGUGGACGGCCACAUUGGGACUGAGACACGGCCCAGACUCCUACGGGAGGCAGCAGUGGGGAAUAUUGCACAAUGGGCGGAAGCCUGAUGCAGCGACGCCGCGUGGGGGAUGACGGCCUUCGGGUUGUAAACUCCUUUCACCAUCGACGAAGGGUUUCUGACGGUAGAUGGAGAAGAAGCACCGGCUAACUACGUG